rnacentral:rRNA from 1 species
AGAGUUUGAUCCUGGCUCAGAUUGAACGCUGGCGGAAUGCUUUACACAUGCAAGUCGAACGGUAGAGGGGGCAACCCCUUGAGAGUGGCGAACGGGUGAGUAAUAUAUCGGAACGUGCCCAGUCGUGGGGGAUAACGUAGUGAAAAUUACGCUAAUACCGCAUACGAUCUAAGGAUGAAAGCGGGGGAUCGCAAGACCUCGCGCGACUGGAGCGGCCGAUAUCAGAUUAGGUAGUUGGUAGGGUAAAGGCCUACCAAGCCAACGAUCUGUAGCUGGUCUGAGAGGACGACCAGCCACACUGGAACUGAGACACGGUCCAGACUCCUACGGGAGGCAGCAGUGGGGAAUUUUGGACAAUGGGCGAAAGCCUGAUCCAGCCAUUCCGCGUGCAGGAUGAAGGCCCUCGGGUUGUAAACUGCUUUUGUACAGAACGAAAAGGUUUCUAUUAAUACUAGGAGCUCAUGACGGUACUGUAAGAAUAAGCACCGGCUAACUACGUGCCAGCAGCCGCGGUAAUACGUAGGGUGCAAGCGUUAAUCGGAAUUACUGGGCGUAAAGCGUGCGCAGGCGGUUAUAUAAGUCAGAUGUGAAAUCCCCGGGCUCAACCUGGGAACUGCAUUUGAGACUGUAUAGCUAGAGUACGGUAGAGGGGGAUGGAAUUCCGCGUGUAGCAGUGAAAUGCGUAGAUAUGCGGAGGAACACCGAUGGCGAAGGCAAUCCCCUGGACCUGUACUGACGCUCAUGCACGAAAGCGUGGGGAGCAAACAGGAUUAGAUACCCUGGUAGUCCACGCCCUAAACGAUGUCAA